rnacentral:rRNA from 1 species
AUUGAACGCUGGCGGCAGGCCUAACACAUGCAAGUCGAGCGGCAGCGACUUAACUGAACCUUCGGGGAACGUUAAGGGCGGCGAGCGGCGGACGGGUGAGUAAUGCCUGGGAAUAUGCCCUGAUGUGGGGGAUAACUAUUGGAAACGAUAGCUAAUACCGCAUAAUCUCUUCGGAGCAAAGAGGGGGACCUUCGGGCCUCUCGCGUCAGGAUUAGCCCAGGUGGGAUUAGCUUGUUGGUGAGGCAAUGGCUCACCAAGGCAACGAUCCCUAGCUGGUCUGAGAGGAUGAUCAGCCACACUGGAACUGAGACACGGUCCAGACUCCUACGGGAGGCAGCAGUGGGGAAUAUUGCACAAUGGGGGAAACCCUGAUGCAGCCAUGCCGCGUGUGUGAAGAAGGCCUUCGGGUUGUAAAGCACUUUCAGUAGGGAGGAAGGUAGUGCAGUUAACACCUGCAUUAUUUGACGUUACCUACAGAAGAAGCACCGGCUAACUCCGUGCCAGCAGCCGCGGUAAUACGGAGGGUGCGAGCGUUAAUCGGAAUUACUGGGCGUAAAGCGCAUGCAGGCGGCCUGUUAAGUCAGAUGUGAAAGCCCGGGGCUUAACCUCGGAAUUGCAUUUGAAACUGGCAGGCUAGAGUCUUGUAGAGGGGGGUAGAAUUUCAGGUGUAGCGGUGAAAUGCGUAGAGAUCUGAAGGAAUACCAGUGGCAAAGGCGGCCCCCUGGACAAAGACUGACGCUCAGAUGCGAAAGCGUGGGGAGCAAACAGG